GAUGAACGCUGACAGAAUGCUUAACACAUGCAAGUCAACUGUGGCGGACGGGUGAGUAACGCGUAAAGAACUUGCCUCACAGAUAGGGACAACAUCUGGAAACGAAUGCUAAUACCUGAUACUGUGAGAGAGGUUUGCGUCCCAUUAGCUAGUGGGAGAGGUAACGGCUCACCAAGGCGAUGAUGGGUAGCCGGCCUGGGAGGGUGAUCGGCCACAAGGGGACUGAGAGACGGCCCUUACUCCUACGGGAGGCAGCAGUAGGGAAUAUUGGAGAAUGGACCAAAGUCUGAGCCAGCAAUUCGGUGUGAACGAUGAAGUUUUCGGAAUGUAAAGUGCUUUCAGUUGGGAAGCGGUACCAACAGAAGAAGUGACGGCUAAAUACGUGCCAGCAGCCGCGGUAAUUC
rnacentral:rRNA from 1 species